AUGCAAGUCGAACGGUGAUAAAGAGCUUGCUCUUUUGAUCAGUGGCGGACGGGUGAGUAACACGUGAGCAACCUACCCUUGACUCUGGGAUAACAGUUGGAAACAGCUGCUAAUACCGGAUAUGAACUCAGCGGGCAUCUGCUGGGUUGGAAAGCUCCGACGGUCAGGGAUGGGCUCGCGGCCUAUCAGCUUGUUGGUGAGGUAAUGGCUCACCAAGGCGACGACGGGUAGCCGGCCUGAGAGGGCGACCGGCCACACUGGGACUGAGAUACGGCCCAGACUCCUACGGGAGGCAGCAGUGGGGAAUAUUGCGCAAUGGGCGAAAGCCUGACGCAGCAACGCCGCGUGCGGGAUGACGGCCUUCGGGUUGUAAACCGCUUUCAGCAGGGACGAAACUGACGGUACCUGCAGAAGAAGCACCGGCUAACUACGUGCCAGCAGCCGCGGUGAUACGUAGGGUGCGAGCGUUGUCCGGAAUUAUUGGGCGUAAAGAGCUCGUAGGCGGUCUGUCGCGUCGGAAGUGAAAACUCGGGGCUUAACCCCGAGCCUGCUUUCGAUACGGGCAGACUUGAGGAAUGUAGGGGAGAACGGAAUUCCUUGUGGAGCGGUGGAAUGAGCAGAUAUCAGGAGGAACACCAGUGGCGAAGGCGGUUCUCUGGACAUUAACUGACGCUGAGGAGCGAAAGCGUGGGGAGCAAAC
rnacentral:rRNA from 1 species